rnacentral:lncRNA from 1 species
ACACCAAUAUAUAAGUAAAUAAGAAUAACCUGUCAUAUGCUUUGUAAUAUAGGUUCUUAAUUUUUAUGCUCUCUGAUGGUGAAGGUGUGAGCAGAAGAAAUCUGUGCCAAAAGAAUAGCAGAACUUAGAUAAAUCACAAACAUCCAGUAUUUUCCAAUAUUGAUUUCUCCUUUCCUCCAUUUUCCCUUCCUGGAAGACUCUACUGGAUGUCUUAGUGUACCUCAGAGGAACUUAAGAUUGGAUGAGAACGUGGCUAUUGACAUUACUAAGCUGAUUCAUCUACCCCAGAAAGUGGCAAAUUAAGCAGUCUGUUGACUUUAAGAUUACCUUGGAGAUAGAUCACAGAAUUUAAAAUGCAGUCACUCAGAAAGCAAAAUUGCUUGGGAAUAAAAGGCAAUAA